AUACUUACCUGGCAGGGGAGAUACCAUGAUCAUGAAGGUGGUCUUACCCAGGCGAGGCCUCCAGCCUCGCCACCUGGUUGUGUUGACUCAAAAGAAUCUCCAAAUGUGGGAAUCUCUGACUGCACAAUUUGUGGUGGUGGUGAUCGCGCCUCCGCGUCUCCUC